AACAGCUGCGGUAUUUUAACUGUACUAAGGUAGCAUAAUAAUUUGCCUUAUAAUUUGAGGCUAGAAUGAAUGGUUUGACGAAGGUUAGUCUGUCUCUAUUUUACUUUUUAGAAAUUAAUUUUCAUAGUGAAAAAGCUUGAAUUUUUUAAAGGGACGAGAAGACCCUAUUGAGCUUAUAAUUUUAUUAGUUAUCAAUAAAUUUGUAUAUUAAAUAUGGUAACUUAUAAAUUUUAAUUGGGGUGAUUAAGGAAUAAAGUUUAAUGUAACUUCCUUAGAUGAAUAGUCAAUGUUGUUAGAUGAAGUAACCAAUAAAAUUAGGCGUCAGAUAUUGCUUAUAAUAUAGUUACCAUAGGGAUAACAGCGUAAUUUAUUUAGAGAGUUCUUAUUGAAAAAUAAGAUUGCGACCUCGAUGUUGGAUUAAAGUAACCUUAAGGUGCAGAAGCUUUAGUAGGUAAAUCUGUUCGAUUUUUAAAACUUUACGUGAUCUGG
rnacentral:rRNA from 1 species